UCCCUCCGUCGCUAUGGAUAUCCGUGCUCAAUGUUUGACCGUCCGUCUUAUUUAAAAAAAUUGUGAAAAAAUUAAAAAUAUUUAGUCACACAUAAAGUACUAUUCAUGUUUUAUCAUCUAAUAGCAACAAAAAUACUAAUCAUAAAAGUUUUUUAGAUAAGACGAACGAUCAAACGUUGAACAUAAAUAGUGUAAAACUGCACUUAUU
rfam:Oryza barthii chromosome 2, whole genome shotgun sequence.